rnacentral:rRNA from 1 species
AGAGUUUGAUCCUGGCUCAGAUUGAACGCUGGCGGCAUGCCUUACACAUGCAAGUCGAACGACGCCAGGGGGCAACUCCUGGCGAGUGGCGAACGGGUGAGUAAUGCAUCGGAACGUGCCCUCUUGUGGGGGAUAACCAGUCGAAAGAUUGGCUAAUACCGCAUGAGCUCGCGAGAGGAAAGCAGGGGACCCGCAAGGGCCUUGCGCGAGAGGAGCGGCCGAUGCCCGAUUAGCUAGUUGGUGGGGUAAUAGCCCACCAAGGCGACGAUCGGUAGCUGGUCUGAGAGGACGACCAGCCACACUGGGACUGAGACACGGCCCAGACUCCUACGGGAGGCAGCAGUGGGGAAUUUUGGACAAUGGGCGCAAGCCUGAUCCAGCCAUGCCGCGUGUGUGAAGAAGGCCUUCGGGUUGUAAAGCACUUUCGGCCGGAACGAAAUCGCGCGGGUGAACAAUCCGCGCGGAUGACGGUACCGGAAGAAGAAGCACCGGCUAACUACGUGCCAGCAGCCGCGGUAAUACGUAGGGUGCGAGCGUUAAUCGGAAUUACUGGGCGUAAAGCGUGCGCAGGCGGCGCCGCAAGUCAGGCGUGAAAUCCCCGGGCUUAACCUGGGAAUGGCGCUUGAAACUACGGUGCUGGAGUGUGGCAGAGGGAGGUGGAAUUCCACGUGUAGCGGUGAAAUGCGUAGAGAUGUGGAGGAACACCGAUGGCGAAGGCAGCCUCCUGGGCCAACACUGACGCUCAUGCACGAAAGCGUGGGGGAGCAAACAGGAUUAGAUACCCUGGUAGUCCACGCCCUAAACGAUGAUGACUAGUUGUUGGGGGAGUUAAAUCCCUUAGUAACGCAGCUAACGCGUGAAGUCAUCCGCCU